rnacentral:rRNA from 1 species
AUUGAACGCUGGCGGGAGGCCUAACACAUGCAAGUCGAGCGGAGCGCCGGACGGGUGCGUAAGGCCAAGGAAUCGGAAUGGGAGCGGGGGAGAACGACAGGAAACGGGCGCUAAUACCGCAGACUAUCAGAGGAGGCUAGGGCGGAUUAGCUAGUUGGUGGGGUAAAGGCCUACCAAGGCCACGAUCCGUAGCUGGUCUGAGAGGAGGAUCAGUCACACUGGAACUGGGAAACGGUCCAGACUCCUACGGGAGGCAGCAGUGGGGAAUAUUGCACAAUGGGCGAAAGCCUGAUCCAGCCAUGCCGCGUGUAUGAAGAAGGUCUUCGGAUUGUAAAGCACUUUCAGUCGGGAGGCGUUACCAACAGAAUAAGCACCGGCUAACUCCGUGCCAGCAGCCGCGGUAAUUC